rnacentral:tRNA from 1 species
CAAAUUAAAGCUUAUAAAGUUUCUUAUUUACAUUAAGAAGAGAUUCAUUUAAUUGAAUUAAUUUGA